ACACUCCUACGGGAGGCAGCAGUGGGGAAUAUUGCACAAUGGGCGGAAGCCUGAUGCAGCAACGCCGCGUGCGGGAUGACGGCCUUCGGGUUGUAAACCGCUUUCGCCUGUGACGAAGCGUGAGUGACGGUAAUGGGUAAAGAAGCACCGGCUAACUACGUGCCAGCAGCCGCGGUGAUACGUAGGGUGCGAGCGUUGUCCGGAUUUAUUGGGCGUAAAGGGCUCGUAGGUGGUUGAUCGCGUCGGAAGUGUAAUCUUGGGGCUUAACCCUGAGCGUGCUUUCGAUACGGGUUGACUUGAGGAAGGUAGGGGAGAAUGGAAUUCCUGGUGGAGCGGUGGAAUGCGCAGAUAUCAGGAGGAACACCAGUGGCGAAGGCGGUUCUCUGGGCCUUUCCUGACGCUGAGGAGCGAAAGCGUGGGGAGCGAACAGGCUUAGAUACCCCUGUAGUCCCAUGA
rnacentral:rRNA from 1 species